rnacentral:rRNA from 1 species
UGAGGAAUAUUGCGCAAUGGGGGCAACCCUGACGCAGCAACGCCGCGUGAGUGAGGAAGGUUUUCGGACCGUAAAGCUCUGUCGAGCGGGAAGAAAUGCAUGGUGGCUAAUAUCCAUCAUGCUUGACGGUACCGCUAAAGGAAGCACCGGCUAACUCCGUGCCAGCAGCCGCGGUAAUACGGGGGGUGCGAGCGUUGUUCGGAAUUAUUGGGCGUAAAGAGCGUGUAGGCGGCCGAAUAAGUCAGAUGUGAAAUCCCUGGGCUUAACCCAAGACGUGCAUUUGAAACUAUUCGGCUAGAGUAGGGGAGAGGAAAGUGGAAUUCCUGGUGUAGAGGUGAAAUUCGUAGAUAUCAGGAGGAACACCGGUGACGAAGGCGUCUUUCUGGCCCUAUACUGACUCUGAGACUCGAGAGCGUGGGUAGCAAACAG